rnacentral:rRNA from 1 species
AUUGAACGCUGGCGGCAGGCUUAACACAUGCAAGUCGAGCGGAGAUGAGGUGCUUGCACCUUAUCUUAGCGGCGGACGGGUGAGUAAUGCUUAGGAAUCUGCCUAUUAGUGGGGGACAACAUUCCGAAAGGAAUGCUAAUACCGCAUACGUCCUACGGGAGAAAGCAGGGGAUCUUCGGACCUUGCGCUAAUAGAUGAGCCUAAGUCGGAUUAGCUAGUUGGUGGGGUAAAGGCCUACCAAGGCGACGAUCUGUAGCGGGUCUGAGAGGAUGUUCCGCCACGCUGGGGCUGAGACACGGCCCAGACUCCUACGGGAGGCAGCAGUGGGGAAUAUUGGACAAUGGGGGGAACCCUGAUCCAGCCAUGCCGCGUGUGUGAAGAAGGCCUUAUGGUUGUAAAGCACUUUAAGCGAGGAGGAGGCUACUGAGACUAAUACUCUUGGAUAGUGGACGUUACUCGCAGAAUAAGCACCGGCUAACUCUGUGCCAGCCGCCGCCGUAACAC